AUUGAACGCUGGCGGCGCGCUUAACACAUGCAAGUCGAACGGUAGCGGAGUGCAUUUAUGUACAGACGACGAGUAGCGGACGGGUGAGUAACGCGUAGGAAUAUGUCGUAUAGAGAGGGAUAACUUGGGGAAACUCAAGCUUAUACCUUAUGAUAUCUUAGGAUUAAAGAUAGGGACCUUUGGGCCUUUCGCUAUAUAGGUAGCCUGCGUACGAUUAGCUAGUUGGUGGGGUAAAGGCCUACCAAGGCGAUGAUCGUUAGCUGGUCUGAGAGGACGGACAGCCACACUGGGACUGAGAGACGGCCCAGACUCCUACGGGAGGCAGCAGUGGGGAAUAUUGGACAAUGGGGGGAACCCUGAUCCAGCGAUGCCGCGUGUGUGAAGAAGGCCUGCGGGUUGUAAAGCACUUUCAGUUAGGAGGAAGUAAGUUAGGUUAAGAGCUAGACAUAUUGACGUUACUGACAGAAGAAGCACCGGCUAACUCCGUGCCAGCCGCCGCCGUAACAC
rnacentral:rRNA from 1 species